rnacentral:rRNA from 1 species
AUUGAACGCUGGCGGCAUGCCUUACACAUGCAAGUCGAACGGUAACAGGUCUUCGGACGCUGACGAGUGGCGAACGGGUGAGUAAUACAUCGGAACGUGCCUAGUAGUGGGGGAUAACUACUCGAAAGAGUGGCUAAUACCGCAUGAGAUCUACGGAUGAAAGCAGGGGAUCGCAAGACCUUGUGCUACUAGAGCGGCCGAUGGCAGAUUAGGUAGUUGGUGGGAUAAAAGCUUACCAAGCCGACGAUCUGUAGCUGGUCUGAGAGGACGAUCAGCCACACUGGGACUGAGACACGGCCCAGACUCCUACGGGAGGCAGCAGUGGGGAAUUUUGGACAAUGGGCGAAAGCCUGAUCCAGCAAUGCCGCGUGCAGGAUGAAGGCCUUCGGGUUGUAAACUGCUUUUGUACGGAACGAAAAGCCCUGGGUUAAUACCCUGGGGUCAUGACGGUACCGUAAGAAUAAGCACCGGCUAACUACGUGCCAGCCGCCGCGGUAA